UACGUAGGGUGCAAGCGUUGUCCGGAAUUAUUGGGCGUAAAGAGCUCGUAGGCGGUUUGUUGCGUCGGCUGUGAAAUCCCGGGGCUUAACCUCGGGUCUGCAUUCGAUACGGGCUGACUAGAGUUCGGUAGGGGAGACUGGAAUUCCUGGUGUAGCGGUGAAAUGCGUUGAUAUCCAGUGGAACUCCGGUGGCGAAGGCGGCCCGCUGGACCCGAUCUGACGCUGAGGCGCGACAGCGUGGGGAGCAAACAGG
rnacentral:rRNA from 1 species